rnacentral:rRNA from 1 species
UACGUAGGGUGCAAGCGUUAAUCGGAAUUACUGGGCGUAAAGCGUGCGCAGGCGGUUGUGCAAGACAGAUGUGAAAUCCCCGGGCUUAACCUGGGAAUUGCAUUUGUGACUGUACGGCUAGAGUGUGUCAGAGGGGGGUAGAAUUCCACGUGUAGCAGUGAAAUGCGUAGAGAUGUGGAGGAAUACCGAUGGCGAAGGCAGCCCCCUGGGAUAACACCGACGCUCAUGCACGAAAGCGUGGGGAGCAAACAGG